rnacentral:rRNA from 1 species
CACGUAGGCGGUGAAUCGGGUUGAAAGUGAAAGUCGCCAAAAACUGGCGGAAUGCUCUCGAAACCAAUUCACUUGAGUGAGACAGAGGAGAGUGGAAUUUCGUGUGUAGGGGUGAAAUCCGAAGAUCUACGAAGGAACGCCAAAAGCGAAGGCAGCUCUCUGGGUCCCUACCGACGCUGGGUGCGAAAGCAUGGGGAGCGAACG